UUCCUUCCUUUUGUAAAUAAACUGCCUUUUGAUUGUAACACAUAGGUGAAUUUACUCAGGUGGACAACAAUGUCACUUCAUUCCUCCAGCAGAUUUCAUCUUGCUCUCAAGGCCCUGCAGUGGCGACAGUGGGGAGGAUUUAAGAUUGCCAGUUCCAGGCCUUAGAAGCAGAAACUCCAGUACCUACGGGAAGGAUGCUGCAGCCGCGUGUCUGUGGAUACUGAAGGAGCAAUGACUUGAUGGAGAGUCAGCUGAAGAUUUUAUUCAACAAGAAAAAUAUUCUGUAGAGAAAGUACGAAUGGAUCAUGUGAAUAAGUAGGGAAAACACUGUUUAAAAGUUCAAGAGAACAGAAUAUUUUAUAAUUGUAUCUUAGAAUCUGCCACUCAUGUACACAUCUCAGAUGUGCCAGUUUCUCUCCAUCUUGCUCUAGUCUACAACAGUUAGUGAGGAGCAGCAUGUUUGAGGCCACAUUGAGGACAUAUGCUGUGGAAAGUUGUGCCUUGGCCUUAGAGCCACAGAAUUCUCAGUGCUAAUCCCCGCUCGCCACUUAAUAGCUGUGUGAGCUUUGGUAAAUCAAGGGAUUUCAAAUCACUUGAUUUCUCUGUGCCCCAAUUCCUUCUUCACCCUCUGGGGAUCUUGUAAAGACU
rnacentral:lncRNA from 1 species